rnacentral:rRNA from 1 species
GAGCUCCUGGCUUCUUACCGACGUUAGCGUUCCACCUGGAGUCAAUACGCGGCGGCGGACGGCACGCGGGUAGAGGUGAGAGAGCCGCAGCGGCAUCCUCCGGAGCUUACUCCUAGCUCGCCAGGAACUCGUAUCCGGGCGUUUAUUCGUCGAGGGGGAAACCCUCGGCGUCAGGAGUUAGCUUCGUCGUCGUCAAGGUAGAACUCGACGAGGAGUUAGGCUCAAUGUCGGCCGUUAGCUUCGUUAGGAGAGACUCGGCGUCAGCCUUUAGCUUCGCGUAGGGGAAAAAUCACCGUCAUGCCUUAGUUUCGUCAGGAAGGGCCCUAUGUUAGUCUUCGUCCACCGCUCUUAGAUCGUCGAUAUAUCUAUAGACCGGACCGCCGUUGGCGCCAUGGGCGGUCAAAAUUCUCUUAUGUUGGUCGAGGCAGGCCGCUGGCUGACGGUCUAGCUACCGGCUUGGUAGGCACUUCCCGGAGCCGUUUAGGAGGGGGCUGCACCACCUCCCGUUACUUCAACUAUCCGAGUCGUUCAACGGGCUACUGCAAAACGAGUUGUAACACCUCGCUGAACUAUAACGACUACGUCGUGCUUGGUGGUAGGAGAGGUCUGCAACCUUCGUCUAGGGACGAUAUGAGAGUUUCGAAUAGUAUUACCAACCAAGAAAAGUCGGGUUAGUACUUUCAUCCUUCAAUUGGAGUCUACUAUAUCAAGCCCGGUUAUGGUGGCACGACCUUCGUUGGUCCUCGUAUGACCUUUCCUCCCGACCUUCAGGUAUGUGGUAAGUGGACAACGCGUACGUUAAGAUGAACCCUCUACUCAGGUAAAAGUAACCGGUCUGACAACGGUUGUGGUAUCGUUGUGUUUUCCAACGAAGUCAACUCAAAUGUUAGUACUGCUUCCACGCGUUUUUCUAAUGGUUAUUACCCGACGAGUGAAUACCCUCCGUCAAGUACAGUAAAAAACUAAGCACGGGUUUGUGUAAACCACCAGAACGUGCGGAGUGCGAUCUCUUAAACUCCAAUCCGCUUAGUAUGAAGGGGUUUUAAAAGUCACAUACGUUCGUUGACCUCAAUGAGGCGGAGAUGGUGACACUAUACCCGUAGCUGAGAAACAACCUUCACCUUGUGGGUGUUGAGUCACUUGAUCACUAACGGACAUCGUCCGAAUAAUUCUCCCAACUAGACUUCACCAAUGGUUUUGAGUGUCAUGACUUUAAAUUACAUAAAUCUAGAGUUCUACCGGGGAAAACAGAACCAAUACAGGGUGACGAGGUGUGACACUGGUAGUAAUUAUGACCAAAACGAACCGUGUUCUACGAGUUCAAAUCACUCAACGACCCAUUUUGGCCGUAUUCGUUGGACGUAAACCUGAAGUCUUCGCUUUUCUAAACCCAGUUUGGCCUUCCAGCUUCUGUUAACAAUGGCCACAAGGUGUUUGAUUGCGAACACUUAAACGAAUUGUAAAGACUUCUUACACUAAACUGAACCUAUUACAAGUAUGAGGUUCCACGUGGGUGGGAAUUCCUUGAUGCGUAGAACCACGCCCUAGUAAAUACACUUUACUAAAGCCCCCUCGUCUCCUUUUUUAAACACAAAUCGCUCCUCUUCCUGUUACCUGAUCUCACCCUUGGACGUGGACUAAAGUUCGUGGUGUUGGAACGGCUCGAGUCUUACAUACCCUCCAAAGCUCGUGUUCUGUUGUAGCACGCGAAACAGUCCUUACAGUACCUUCGUCGCCACUUAGACCUCCUGUAUUUUGAAAAAUUCUCAGGUCACACACUCUUGACGUUCGUGUACGAAGUCCUCACCUGUAACUACCUCUUCAGCAGCGAAUCGGUGUUUGAGUUGUACCCCUACGACAGAAGCUUGCAGGUCUAAGUCAAGGGCUCAAAUCCCUUUAAAGCAUGCACCAGUUUUAUGACGAGAAUUCGACGUUCGACGUCGUCAACUAUCCUUGACAACAUAGUAACAUACGUAGCUAAUUAACAGUGAUCGCUUGGAAAAGUUAAUACACAUAAAACUUUA